GUCCCCUAGAAGGAGAAAUGUUUUCCCUAACUAAACAUAGAUGAAGGUUGUAAUGCUGAUAUAUGAGUUGUAAGAUCCUAUAUGAUUGAAAUCAUGGGAUAUGAACCACUGGCCACCUGGAUUAUUUUAGCAGUCUCGUUGUGGUGAGGGUUAGUUGAGGUGACUGGAGGGAGAUUGCUAUGAUCAUUUUGUAGCCAAGGUAUAAAACACCCCAGUGGAGGACUCAGGAGAUAACUCUAUGAGUAAAACCAGAGCAACUGGAGUUCCUUUAUAUGAAGCAAGUAGUAGGUAAAAAAAGAUCACUGUAUUUUGGUAAUGUUUCAUUUCAGAACCCUGUCUUGUGAAGUAACUGUGUAUGACAUUUUCUUGCUUUGUGUUAUGUAUUUGAAAAACAUGAUGAGAUAAUGAAGAAAGAGGAAGAAAAAAAAGAGGAUAAAUGGACAACAGAUGGACAGACAGACAGGUGGAUGACAUACAGGCUCCACUGGCAAAAAGUACCUGAAACUGUGGAGUUGGUGGAGGUGGUGUUUGUUUUUAAAACAGUGUUCAGCCUGUCUUCUCAGUGGAGAGUGUAGUCAGAGGCUUAUGGGAACAGCCUUCAGCCAAUAUGGAAGCUGGUGCAUAGAUUCCAGGUGAUGGGUAUUUGUGUGUGUGUGUGUGGAUAAUUCUGGAUGAUUUCUAUUGUGUCUCCCAGAGGUCUCUAAUGGAAUUCAGUUCCAUUUGCUGAAAGCAGUACCCCAUUAGCCAUCAUAAUU
rnacentral:lncRNA from 1 species